GGAAUAUAAGAACUCGUCUCUUAAUUUUUAAGUAAAAAAUGUAAGAACUGGUUCUUAAAUAAGAGUUUUAAGAGCUAGUUUUUAACUUUUUAGUUAAAAGUUAAGAGACAGAUUCUUAUAUUUU
rnacentral:pre_miRNA from 1 species